rnacentral:tRNA from 1 species
UCCCUGGUGGUUCAGUGGUUAAGACUCUACACUUUCAAUGCAGCGGGUGCAGGUUUGAUGCCUGGUUGGGGAA